rnacentral:rRNA from 1 species
AGAGUUUGAUCAUGGCUCAGGAUGAACGCUGGCGGCGUGCCUAAUACAUGCAAGUCGAGCGGAAAGGCCUCUUCGGAGGUACUCGAGCGGCGGACGGCAGAGUAACGCGUAGGAACAUACCCCAAACUGAGGGAUAACUGCCCGAAAGGGUGGCUAAUACCGCAUGUGAUCUUCGGAUUAAAGCUUCGGCGGUUUGGGAAUGGCCUGCGUUCGAUUAGCUAGUUGGUGAGGUAAAGGCUCACCAAGGCGACGAUCGAUAACUGGUCUGAGAGGAUGAUCAGUCUGACUGGAACUGAGACACGGUCCAGACUCCUACGGGAGGCAGCAGUAGGGAAUUUUCCACAAUGGGCGAAAGCCUGAUGGAGCAACGCCGCGUGCAGGAUGAAGGCCCUUGGGUCGUAAACUGCUUUUAUGUGAGAAGAAUAUGACGGUAACACAUGAAUAAGGGUCGGCUAACUACGUG